AAUUAUGACUCUAUUUUGGGUGUAAUUUCCAUGAAAUUAUUUAUGAAUCUUUUUUUCCCUAAGGGGUGGCCAUAAAUAUCAUCUUUAAUGCAUCUUCAUUAGUAGCUUUCAUCUUCUGAUGGGCCUGCAUCUUUUGUUGGAAGUUGGAUGUUGUUGGUAGAAAUGUUAAGUCCACAUCUUAGGUGUACGGAGUUUGUAUAAAAUAUGAACUCUAAUGUGUAGAAUUUGCAGGUCGCUGAAGUGUCACAGUCUGCUGAAAUGGGUCAGCAGGGCUUCCCUCUCUGCAGAGCCCUGGAGUCUCUUCCAAGUAGAAAAUCACACUCUGUCCUUCAGCCCACACAGAAGGCUGUCUCCAACUGCAGAAGGAAGUUCUUUCCAUGGCCGCUGGAGCACCCUCCCCACUUGUGGGCACCAUGGUUCAAGUCUGCCCCAGUGAUCCUCUCCUGUAUAAACCUCCAGGUACAGAUUAUGGAAAUCAGGAAUCUCAUCCAGCUGCUCAAAUAACAAAGAGGUUAGCAGUAUCUAUUUUACUUUAAGUUCUGGGAUACAUGUGCAGAAGGUAUGGUUUGUUACAUAGGUAUAUGUGUGCCAUAGUGGAUUGCUGCACCUAUCAACCCGUCAUCUAGGUUUAAGCCCCACAUGCAUUAGCUAUUUGUCCUGAUGCUCUCCCUCCCCUCCCCACACCAGACAGGCCUUGGUGUGUGAUGUUCCCCUCCCUGUGUCCAUGUGUUCUCACUGUUCAGCUCCCACUUAUGAGUGAGAACGUGUGGUAUUUGGUUUUCUGUUCCUGUGUUAGUUUGCUGAGGAUGAUGGCUUCCAGCUUCAUCCAUGUCCCUGCAAAGGACACGAUCUCAUUCCUUCUUAGGGCUGCAUAGUAUUCCAUGGUAUAUAUGUACAAUAUUUUCUUCAUCCAGUCUAUCAUUGAUGGGCAUUUGGGUUGGUUCCAUGUCUUUGCUAUUGUAAAUAGGAGUGUACACUCUUGACCACUACACUGGAGCAACAGGCCCUAGAAAUAGUGACCAUAUUCAUUAACCAAUUAGAAACUAGUAUGUGGAUCCUCACUUUCUAGGAGUCUCAGAGGAGACAGUAGGCCCUGGAGACACCCAUGAUACAAAACCAGAGCGAGAUGAAGACGCUCCACUCACCUCUCCCCUCAUUCUUGCCCAGAAAAUUUGCUCUAUCUUCCCCAUUUUUUACCCUGCCCACAUUACCCACCACAAUUAGACAAAAGGCCUCAAGAAGUCUGCAGAGGGGCAGGAUGAGGGCAGGGGUCAGCUUUCCUCUUUCAGUUGUUUUCUGAUUACUUUAGACUUGGUCCAGCCAGGAAGAAUCCGUCACUCUCAGCAGGCAGUGGGUGGGGAGAGGUACCAGCAGACUUAGAAGUAUAUAUGGAAUGUAUUAAACCGUGGUGCAAAAAGAAAGGCCUGAGAAGCUAAACCAAAGAGGGAGAUGCAGUUGCACAAAGUUAGGGGAUUGAAAGAGCCCCCAAGGUAACAGAAGGUGCAACAUAGUAAGAAUUUUAAGAGGUGAUAAAGGUAACUUGCUGUCAAAAGAGGCAGAUAUUACUAAAGAAACAAGUGAAAUUGAUUCCAAGAAAAUGUUAAAAGCUACACCUCCUAUUUCUUAGUUAGUCUAUCCCCGUUGUGGGGCUCUGCAUAUCCAAGCUGUCUUUGAUUUCUCCUCUGCCAUGUUAUUAGUAACAUCUGAUCAAUUACUUGUGUCUCUCCCAUCCUUGCCCUUCACUCUAUUUCCCCUUAUCGGUCUCACCUGGUUUAAUCACAGCACUCUCCAAACUUGCCUCUUCUCCUGCCCAUCAUCCAAAAGGACCUUCCUAAAACAGACCUGGUCCCAUUAUCCCCUGAAUGAAAUUUUUUCAUGUAAAGUUUAUUAUAUCAUAAUGCAAAUACCCUUUAAUCAAGCAAUUCCACUUCUAUGAAUUUAUAGAUACAUGCACAAAAUGAUGUACAUACAAAGGUAUUCAC
rnacentral:lncRNA from 1 species